rnacentral:rRNA from 1 species
AUUGAACGCUGGCGGCAGGCCUAACACAUGCAAGUCGAGCGAGCGGCGGACGGGUGAGUAAUGUCUGGGAAACUGCCUGAUGGAGGGGGAUAACUACUGGAAACGGUAGCUAAUACCGCAUACCAUCAGAUGUGCCCAGAUGGGAUUAGCUAGUAGGUGGGGUAACGGCUCACCUAGGCGACGAUCCCUAGCUGGUCUGAGAGGAUGACCAGGAACACUGAAACUGUGACACGGUCCAGACGCCUACGGGAGGCAGCAGGGGGGAAUAUGGCAAAGUGGGCGCAAGCCUGAUGCGGCCAUGCCGCGUGUGUGAAGAAGGCCUGCGGUUUGUAAAGCUCUUUCAGCGGGGGGGCGUUACCCGCAAAAGAAGCCCCGGCUAACUCCGUGCAAGCCGCCGGGGUAAUAC